GUAGCUCAGCGGUAGAGCACCGAGUUCUCAAAAUUUGAAAAGUGUUUAAAGUGUUUAGCCUGAGUUCGAUUCCCGGAAAGAUCA